rnacentral:lncRNA from 1 species
GGCAGGGGCCCCCGCUCAGCAGAGGCCCCCAGAGCCCGGCUCCUGGGAGCUCCAGGGACAGAGCUGUGUGGCUGUCACUGCUCCUAUAAUUCCCAGGACAAAGCUCGUGGGGACCCGGAUGCUGGGAGGCAGGAAGGGGACCCGGGGAGCAGCUGCGACAACAGUCUGACCUCAGCAAGGAGAGCCAGGCAGCUGUUUGCCUUGAAACCCUCAGAAAUGAAGGUGCCAGCAAUCUGCUUUGCAGCAAGAACUUUCCAUCUCUGCAUGUGCGGGGUAUAAUUAUGGCAUUUGGGUUUUUAAACAGACCAAACUGUGUCCUCCUGGCAGAAAGUGAGCAAAACCAACCCCGGUUACGGUUCCCUGACAGCUCAGUGGAUUCAGCCAAAGAAAAUGACCCUGCACGGCAGCGGACACAGACGCAAAUUCCUGCUCUUGAGUAAUGAAGGCGACCGAACCGCACGCUUCUGCCUGCAAAUAUCCCGCGCGGCCCCGGCCGCCCCCGGAGCCGUCCUGGGGUUCAGAUUGAGCAGAAAUGCCCCGAGCCCGGCCGCCCGGGCGCACGCGGGCUGGGCCGUCGCUCCGCGGGAAGGCGGCAGGUGGGGCAGCUCCUCGCUGCCCGGGAGCCCGGCUUCGGCCUGCCAGCCCCGGCCUGGACGCGGGCCCGGAGGGAAAGCCCAGCUCUCCACGGAGCCACCGCGGCCCAUUAUUUCUGCCUGAAAACAGCCCUGGAUCCUCAGCAGAGAGCAGGGGUGACAGGCCCGGCUGUCGUGCUCAGCUCUGCGUGAAAUCGCCAUCGGCCGCUUGACUUCUGUAAGGAGCAGGCUGGUGGCUUCCGUGGGUGUGAAUAAGCCCCUGGCCGCGUGCGGGACCUGCCGGAGGCCUCGGGGUCCUGUCUGCCGAAGGCGCGGGAAUCCGUACAGUCACGGCUCGGGCCCACGUGAAAUGCCCUGUUGUCGCCGGGAACUUGCAGAUGAGCCAAAACGACUGUGCUCGCUCCUGGUCUGCGUCUCGCCGUAGCCUGUGAUCCGGCCUCAAGUAAGCAGCAAUCUCGAGAAAAUAAACUGGGCACAUUUAAACA